GGGCUGGAGAGAUGGCUCAGAGGUUA
rnacentral:piRNA from 2 species